UGGGGAAUCUUGGACAAUGGGGGCAACCCUGAUCCAGCCAUGCCGCGUGAGUGAUGAAGGCCUUAGGGUCGUAAAGCUCUUUCGCCUGUGAAGAUAAUGACGGUAGCAGGUAAAGAAACCCCGGCUAACUCCGUGCCAGCAGCCGCGGUAAUACGGAGGGGGUUAGCGUUGUUCGGAAUUACUGGGCGUAAAGCGCACGUAGGCGGACCAGAAAGUUGGGGGUGAAAUCCCGGGGGCUCAACCCCGGAACUGCCUCCAAAACUAUUGGUCUAGAGUUCGAGAGAGGUGAGUGGAAUUCCAAGUGUAGAGGUGAAAUUCGUAGAUAUUUGGAGGAACACCAGUGGCGAAGGCGGCUCACUGGCUCGAUACUGACGCUGAGGUGCGAAAGUGUGGGGAGCAAACAGGAUUAGAUACCCUGGUAGUCCACACCGUAAAACGAUGGAAUGCCAGUCGUCGGGUAGCAUGCUAUUCGGUGACACACCUAACGGAUUAAGCAUUCCGCCUGGGGAGUACGGUCGCAAGAUUAAAACUCAAAUGAAUUG
rnacentral:rRNA from 1 species